UGAUGGGGAUGGAAUAUUAAUACUGACUUGUAUCAGUCGUCCGGACAAAGGCGGGCGUCGCUCUCGUUCCCAAAUCCGACCUUAGCCUCUUUCCUCGUCGUCUCCGAUCUCUUGGGCUUCCCAGCGUCCGAUCUCGUCGAUCAUGUCGUCGGAGAAGGGUCAACCAUUGCCCAAGUUUGGAGAAUGGGAUGUCAAUAACCCUGCCUCAGCUGAAGGGUUCACCGUUAUAUUUAAUAAGGCUCGAGAUGAAAAGAAGACAGGUGGUAACUCAGGUGCAUCAUCAACACCACCGAGAAACAUAGGUGGUUUGCGACCAGAUGAUACUUACCACUAUCCAAGGAAAAGUCGAAAGUGGUUCUGCUGUGGUUGAAUUCUGCUGCUGGAGCAAUGGGUACUUGGUGAUCUUAGUUUGGGGUUGCAAGGUGUUAAAGAAAGGUUUGUUUUAGCGAACAGAUGCUGUCCUUGAAUAUUCAUCAUGUCCGGUGAUCCGUAUGUAUCGAUGUUAUAUCGAUCGUAAAUAGACAUAAAAGGAGGACAGAUGGAUGCUAAAACUCUUUCUAUUUGUUCAGUUUUGCUAUAUGGUUGCUGGAAAGAGCAGUGUCAUAUAAUGUGUCUCUGUCAUUUGAUUCUGAGAGUAAUUAGAAGAAUAGUCUUCCCUCUGUA